rnacentral:rRNA from 1 species
GACGAACGCUGGCGGCGUGCUUAACACAUGCAAGUCGAACGAAGUGGCGAACGGGUGAGUAAUACGUGGGUAACCUGCCCUCCUUUUUGGGAUAAGCCUUGGAAACGGGGUCUAAUACCGAAUAAAGGGGGCUGGGCUCGCGGCCUAUCAGCUUGUUGGUGGGGUGAUGGCCUACCAAGGCGGUGACGGGUAGCCGGCCUGAGAGGGUGACCGGCAACAUUGGGACUGGGAUAAGGGCCAGACUCCUACGGGAGGGAGCCAGGGGGAAUCGUCCGAAAUGGACGAAAGUCUGACGGAGCAACGCCGCGUGAGUGAUGACGGCCUUCGGGUUGUAAAGCUCUGUUAAUCGGGACGCGGUACCGGAAUAGAAAGCCACGGCUAACUACGUGCCAGCAGCCGCGGUAAUAC